GUGGGGAAUUUUGGACAAUGGGCGAAAGCCUGAUCCAGCAAUGCCGCGUGCAGGAUGAAGGCCUUCGGGUUGUAAACUGCUUUUGUACGGAACGAAAAAGCUUCUCCUAAUACGAGAGGCCCAUGACGGUACCGUAAGAAUAAGCACCGGCUAACUACGUGCCAGCAGCCGCGGUAAUACGUAGGGUGCGAGCGUUAAUCGGAAUUACUGGGCGUAAAGCGUGCGCAGGCGGUUAUGUAAGACAGAUGUGAAAUCCCCGGGCUCAACCUGGGAACUGCAUUUGUGACUGCAUGGCUAGAGUACGGUAGAGGGGGAUGGAAUUCCGCGUGUAGCAGUGAAAUGCGUAGAUAUGCGGAGGAACACCGAUGGCGAAGGCAAUCCCCUGGACCUGUACUGACGCUCAUGCACGAAAGCGUGGGGAGCAAACAGGAUUAGAAACCCCAGUAGUCC
rnacentral:rRNA from 1 species